GAUGCCAGGGUCAAAAGGUCUAAGCCCACAUGAGCUUGCUCAUAAGUGGGUGAAAGACCUUAGGACCCGCCCCGAUAUGAGCAUAAAAGUGGGAUGAUAAUCCCACGAUAUGCGAAUAGAGGGUAGGAUUGUGGGAGUGCGUAGCACGGAACAAUCCGUAGGUAUC
rnacentral:sRNA from 1 species